CUUCCUCAGUGGGCUGGGAAAUGUUUUAUUGUGUUUUCAGAAUCAUUUCCCAGCCCACUGAGGAAGA
rnacentral:pre_miRNA from 1 species